rnacentral:rRNA from 1 species
ACGGGUGAGUAACACGUGGGAACGUGCCCUUUGGUUCGGAACAACUCAGGGAAACUUGAGCUAAUACCGGAUGUGCCCUUCGGGGGAAAGAUUUAUCGCCAUUGGAGCGGCCCGCGUAGGAUUAGCUAGUUGGUGGGGUAAAGGCCCACCAAGGCUACGAUCCUUAGCUGGUCUGAGAGGAUGAUCAGCCACAUUGGGACUGAGACACGGCCCAAACUCCUACGGGAGGCAGCAGUGGGGAAUCUUGCGCAAUGGGCGAAAGCCUGACGCACCCGUGCCGCGUGAAUGAUGAAGGUCUUAGGAUUGUAAAAUUCUUUCACCGGGGACGAUUAUGACGGUACCCGGAGAAAAAGCCCCGGCUAACUUCGUGCCAGCAGCCGCGGUAAUACGAAGGGGGCUAGCGUUGCUCGGAAUUACUGGGCGUAAAGGGAGCGUAGGCGGAUAGUUUAGUCAGAGGUGAAAGCCCAGGGCUCAACCUUGGAAUUGCCUUUGAUACUGGCUAUCUUGAGUACGGAAGAGGUAUGUGGAACUCCGAGUGUAGAGGUGAAAUUCGUAGA